CUGCAGCCAGUUAAGCUGAUGGUGCUCCUUUCCUCCUGGGAGCCUGGUGUGCAAUGACUGUAAACCGCACCCUUCUGGGUACUGUACGCAGUCUAUUGCUUGCUUAGAUUGCUCUAGGGAUCUUGGAGACAGUC